CCCUUAGAUGCUCUGGGCCGCACGCGCGCUACACUGGUCGAUGCAACGAGUUUCUUUCCUUGGCCGACAGGCCUGGGCAAUCUUUGAACAUCGAUCGUGAUCGGGAUAGAUUCUUGUAAUUUUUGAUCUUAAACGAGGAAUUCCUAGUAACCGCAAGUCAUCAGCUUGCAUUGAUUACGUCCCUGCCCUUUGUACACACCGCCCGUCGCACCUACCGAUUGAAUGGUCCGGUGAAAUCUCCGGACUGGCGUGAGUCGGAGCAAUCUGACAAACACCGGAAAGUUGAUUAAACCUUACCAUUUAGAGGAAGGUGAAGUCGUAACA
rnacentral:rRNA from 1 species